UACGUAGGGCGCAAGCGUUAUCCGGAAUUAUUGGGCGUAAAGAGCUCGUAGGCGGUUUGUCGCGUCUGCCGUGAAAGUCCGGGGCUCAACUGCGGGUCUGCAGUCGAUACGGGCAGGCUAGAGUUCGGUAGGGGAGACUGGAAUUCCUGGUGUAGCGGUGAAAUGCGCAGAUAUCAGGAGGAACACCGGUGGCGAAGGCGGGUCUCUGGGCCGAUACUGACGCUGAGGAGCGAAAGCGUGGGGAGCGAACAGG
rnacentral:rRNA from 1 species